GAUGAACGCUGGCGGCGUGCCUAAUACAUGCAAGUCGAGCGAACAGACGAGGAGCUUGCUUCUCUGACGUUAGCGGCGGACGGGUGAGUAACACGUGGAUAACCUACCUAUAAGACUGGGAUAACUUCGGGAAACCGGAGCUAAUACCGGAUAAUAUUUUGAACCGCAUGGUUCAAUAGUGAAAGACGGUUUUGCUGUCACUUAUAGAUGGAUCCGCGCCGCAUUAGCUAGUUGGUAAGGUAACGGCUUACCAAGGCAACGAUGCGUAGCCGACCUGAGAGGGUGAUCGGCCACACUGAAACUGAGACACGGUCCAGACUCCUACGGGAGGAAGCAGUAGGGAAUCUUCCGCAAUGGGCGAAAGCUUGACGGAGCAACGCCGCGUGAGUGAUGAAGGUCUUCGGAUCGUAAAACUCUGUUAUUAGGGAAGAACAAAUGUGUAAGUAACUAUGCACGUCUUGACGGUACCUAAUCAGAAAGCCACGGCUAACUACGUG
rnacentral:rRNA from 1 species